rnacentral:rRNA from 1 species
UACGGGGGGGGCAAGCGUUGUUCGGAAUUACUGGGCGUAAAGGGCUCGUAGGUGGCCAACUAAGUCAGACGUGAAAUCCCUCGGCUUAACCGGGGAACUGCGUCUGAUACUGGAUGGCUUGAGUUUGGGAGAGGGACGCGGAAUUCCAGGUGUAGCGGUGAAAUGCGUAGAUAUCUGGAGGAACACCGGUGGCGAAGGCGGCGUCCUGGACCAACACUGACACUGAGGCACGAAGGUCAGGGGAGCAAACGGG